CUGGCUCAGAACGAACGCUGGCGGCGUGCUUAACACAUGCAAGUCGAACGCGAAAGGGACCUCGGUCCUGAGUAAAGUGGCGCACGGGUGAGUAACGCGUAGAUAACCUGUCUUCAUGUCUGGAAUAAUACGCCGAAAGGGGUACUAAUACCGGAUAUUCUUGCUUUUCAUAAGUUAUGCAAGCAAAGGUGGCCUCUGCAUAUGCUACUGCAUGAAGAGGGGUCUGCGUACCAUUAGCUAGUAGGUGGGGUAAUGGCCUACCUAGGCGACGAUGGUUAGCGGGUCUGAGAGGAUGAUCCGCCACACUGGCACUGGAACACGGGCCAGACUCCUACGGGAGGCAGCAGUGAGGAAUAUUGCGCAAUGGGGGAAACCCUGACGCAGCGACGCCGCGUGAAGUGAGGAAGGCCUUCGGGUCGUAAAGCUCUGUCAAGAGGAAAGAAGUGUACAAUGGCUAAUACCUGUUGUAUUUGACGGUACCUCUAAAGGAAGCACCGGCUAACUCCGUGCCAGCCGCCGC
rnacentral:rRNA from 1 species